UACGAAGGUCCCGAGCGUUGUUCGGAAUCACUGGGCGUAAAGGGUGCGUAGGCGGGUUUUUAAGUCAGGGGUGAAAUCCUGGAGCUCAACUCCAGAACUGCCUUUGAUACUGAAGAUCUUGAGUUCGGGAGAGGUGAGUGGAACUGCGAGUGUAGAGGUGAAAUUCGUAGAUAUUCGCAAGAACACCAGUGGCGAAGGCGGCUCACUGGCCCGAUACUGACGCUGAGGCACGAAAGCGUGGGGAGCAAACAGG
rnacentral:rRNA from 1 species